GAUAAACGCUGGCGGUAUACAUAACACAUGCAAGUCGAACGGAAUAUUUUCGGAUAUUUAGUGGCGGACGGGUGAGUAACACGUAAGAAUCUGCCUUCAGGACGGGGACAACAGUCGGAAACGACUGCUAAGACCCGAUAUGCUUUUCAAGUGAAACAGUUAAUUCUGCCUGAAGAUGAGCUUGCGUCCGAUUAGCUAGUUGGUGAGGUAAAGGCUCACCAAGGCAACGAUCGGUAGCUGGUCUGAGAGGACGAUCAGCCACACUGGGACUGAGACACGGCCCAGACUCCUACGGGAGGCAGCAGUGGGGAAUCUUGGACAAUGGGGGCAACCCUGAUCCAGCCAUGCCGCGUGGGUGAUGAA
rnacentral:rRNA from 1 species